AGAGGCCGCUGCUAUCCGGCUGGGACUAAGCCAUGGUAGUCAUGGGGCGCGGGCCGCUUUCGCGGUUCGUGCACCGGCGGACAGCUCAGUAACACGUGGCCAACCUGCCCUCGGGAGGGGGAUAACCCCGGGAAACUGGGGCUAAACCCCCAUAGGGAAUGGGCGGUGGAAUUCCCCCAUUCCCGAAAGUGUGCGGUUGCCGUAAGGCGCCGCACAGCCCGAGGAUGGGGCUGCGGCGGAUUAGGUAGUUGGCGGGGUAAUGGCCCGCCAAGCCGAAGAUCCGUACGGGCCAUGAGAGUGGGAGCCCGGAGAUGGACCCUGAGACAAGGGUCCAGGCCCUACGGGGCGCACCAGGCGCGAAACCUCCGCAAUGCGGGAAACCGC
rnacentral:rRNA from 1 species